rnacentral:misc_RNA from 1 species
UACGUAGACCUCAAGCGUUGUCCGGAUUUAUUGGGCGUAAAGGGUGUGUAGGAGGCAUCGUAAGUCAGAUGUUAAAUCCUAGGGCUUAACCCUAGGUCCGCAUUCGAUACUGCGAAGCUAGAGGGCGCUAGAGGCAAGUGGAACGAACGGUGUAGGGGUGAAAUCCGUUGAUAUCGUUCGGAACACCAAAGGCGAAGGCAGCUUGCUGGGGCGCACCUGACUCUGAAACACGAAAGCGUGGGGAGCAAAAAGG